rnacentral:rRNA from 1 species
UGGGGUAUUUUGCGCAAUGGGGGAAACCCUGACGCAGCAACGCCGCGUGAGUGAUGAAGGCCUUCGGGUCGUAAAGCUCUGUCAGAGGGGAAGAAAUGCAGGGGUGCUAAUAUCAUCUUUGCUUGACGGUACCCUCAAAGGAAGCACCGGCUAACUCCGUGCCAGCAGCCGCGGUAAUACGGAGGGUGCGAGCGUUGUUCAGAAUUAUUGGGCGUAAAGCGCGUGUAGGCGGUUUGAUAAGUCUGAUGUGAAAGCCCCGGGCUCAACCUGGGAAGUGCAUUGGAAACUGUCAGACUUGAAUACGGGAGAGGGUAGUGGAAUUCCUAGUGUAGGAGUGAAAUCCGUAGAUAUUAGGAGGAACACCGGUGGCGAAGGCGGCUACCUGGACCGAUAUUGACGCUGAGACGCGAAAGCGUGGGGAGCAAACAG